UUAAGACUUGUAGUGAUGUUUAG
rnacentral:miRNA from 1 species